UCUGGCUAGGAGUGUCUGACUAAAAGAGUUGAUCUUUUAAAUCAAAUCAUGAAGAUCUCUUCCU
rnacentral:tRNA from 1 species